CCUACGGGAGGCAGCAGUAGGGAAUAUUGCUCAAUGGGGGAAACCCUGAAGCAGCAACGCCGCGUGGAGGAUGAAGGUUUUCGGAUUGUAAACUCCUUUUGUUAGAGAAGAUAAUGACGGUAUCUAACGAAUAAGCACCGGCUAACCCCGAGACAGCAGCCGCGGUAAUACGGCGGGUGCAAGCGUUACUCGGAAUCACUGGGCGUAAAGAGCGCGUAGGCGGGUUAGCAAGUCAGAUGUGAAAUCCUAGGGCUUAACCAUAGAACUGCAUUUGAAACUGUUAUUCUAGAGUUUGGGAGAGGUAGGUGGAAUUCUUGGUGUAGGGGUAAAAUCCGUAGAGAUCAAGAGGAAUACUCAUUGCGAAGGCGACCUGCUAGAACAUAACUGACGCUGAUGCGCGAAAGCGUGGGGAGCAAACAGGAUUAGAUACCCGUGUAGUC
rnacentral:rRNA from 1 species